UACGUAGGUGGCAAGCGUUGUCCGGAAUUAUUGGGCGUAAAGCGCGCGCAGGCGGUCCUUUAAGUCUGAUGUGAAAGCCCACGGCUCAACCGUGGAGGGUCAUUGGAAACUGGGGGACUUGAGUACAGAAGAGGAAAGCGGAAUUCCACGUGUAGCGGUGAAAUGCGUAGAGAUGUGGAGGAACACCAGCGGCGAAGGCGGCUUUCUGGUCUGUAACUGACGCUGAGGCGCGAAAGCGUGGGGAGCAAACAGG
rnacentral:rRNA from 1 species